AUGGAUAGUGAGAGGGACAGCAUCCCAGGCAGUUUUAUGGAACUACUAAACAUGGUUGAGCAGCCCAUGUCAAAUUUCAAUCAAGAAAACACUAUGAACUCAGUACCCGAAGAAAGUUCUUGCUUUUCUGAUAGACCUUAUUGUUCAGAAGACACUGAUGUACUUUCGAGACCUAACUUAAGGGUGGACACUUAUGAUUAUGUAGAUGACUCAAAUGAAGUUCAGUCCAGUCUUGAAUUUAUGAAAGAAAAGGUUGCGAUUGCUGAUACGAUUUCUGCCCCUGAAAAUCUUGACGAGCAGUACUUAUUUUCUGCAUACAAUGUUCAGAUUGAGGAGUCUGAUUCUAAUGAACGAUACCUUGAAGGAGGACAAGUUGGAUCUGUGGAACACGGGAUUAGAAGUUUUUGUGAAGACACAUCUGUUCAAAUGUUAAGGCCGGUUGUUGGUAUGAAGUUUUCAUCAAAGGCAGAAGCAUAUGACUUCUACAAUACAUAUUCUUGGGUGCUUGGUUUCAGUAUUCGGAAUGGUGAUAAUUAUAUUAAUUGCAAUGGCGUACAGACAAUGCAGGAAUUAAUUUGCCAACGAGCAGGAAUCACCAAGAAUACUAAAUAUGCAACAACUAGAUGUGGUUGCAAGGCAACACUCAGGGUACAUCUUAAUGAAUAUUCAGAAUGGUAUGUCAAAGUUUUUAGGGAGGAACACAAUCAUUUCCUUGUCCAAUCUUGCAGCGAGAAGAAGCACCUGCAUUCACAUCAACAUAUUGACAAGACAAUAAGAGAUUUAAUAAAGAAUCUUCGGGAGAAUAAUGUUUCACUAACGAGGGCUAAUUCUAUAGUAGCAGGUUUCUAUGGCUCAACAAAGAAAGUACCAUUCUGUAAGUGA
rnacentral:rRNA from 1 species